rnacentral:lncRNA from 1 species
AUCCUGGGGACGGAUUUGGGGUCAGAAAUGGGGAUUUUGGGGAGAUUUGGGGUUUAGGAUUUGGGAUGUGGGGUCGGGAUUUGGGAUUUGGGGUUCAGGAUUUGGGAUUUAUGGGGUUUGGGGUCAGGAUUUGGGAUUUGGGGUUCAGGAUUUGGGAUUUGGGGUCGGGAUUUGGGGUUCAGGAUUUGGGAUUUAUGGGGUUUGGGGUCAGGAUUUGGGGUCGGAAUUUUAGGAUUUGGGGGAUUUGGGAUGGUCCAAAGGGAUUUAGGAACACCCAGGAUGGAUUUGGGAUGGUCCAGGAUGGUCCAAGAGAAUUUAGGAGCACCCAGGAUGGAUUUGGGAUGGUUCAGGAUGAUCCAAGGGGAUUUAGGAACACCCAGGAUGGAUUUAGGAUGGUCCAGGAGGGUUACAGAUGGAUUUGGGAUGGUCCAAGAGGAUUUAGGAACAUCCAGGAUGGAUUUGGGAUGGUCCAAAGGGAUUUAGGAACACCCAGGAUGGAUUUGGGAUGGUCCAGGAUGGAUUUGGGAUGGUCCAAGAGGAUUUAGGAACAUCCAAGGGGAUUUAGGACCAUCCAGAACCAUCCAAAUUUGGGCCAAUCUGGACCUGGGACAUCUUGGGACCAAUCCAGGAUGGAU